UUUCCACACAAAGUCAAAUUGGUUAAAAUUGUUAUUAUAUUUUAAUUAAUAAUUUGGAAUUCUUUCAUUUUUUAGUUGGAUUUAGUUUGUGAAAUCGGCGGAUCUGAGGUAGAAUUUUAUAUUAAAGGCUCUAUUUACGGCUUUAUUUACAAGUGAAAUCUUUUUAAGACAGUGAAAUAGUUAUUAACCCAUUGAUGCCAAAAGCGUCAUUUUUGAUCCGUUCUAAAACUUUUAAAUUUGGAAGAUUUUCUUAUUUCAUUUAACUUUUUUCAAUAUUCUUAUUAAACUAAAUUCUUAUUUGAGCAGUGCAUCUUAUUGGGUUAUAUUUUAUCUUUUUGUUCUUGCACUUUAUAUACUUUUAAUUUAGCAAGCGUGCAUUGUGGUUUAUAUUGGUUCAGCAGUAUCCUUAGGCAAACUUAUUGCUCUCCUUAAGCAAACUUAUUGCUCAAGACCCUGCUGGAUCUACCCUAGCUCUGUUCAACCCCGAUCAGCGAAACAAUUUUUGAAACCGCUGUGCUGUUUUUGAAACCGCUGUGCUGUUAUCAAUCUGUGAACUGAUCGGAACCCUUUCUAAGAAGAUUGUAUUUAUUAAUAAAGAUUUACGUUACUUAA
rnacentral:lncRNA from 1 species